rnacentral:rRNA from 1 species
GAUGAACGCUGGCGGCGUGCUUAACACAUGCAAGUCGAACGGUGAAGGCGGAGCUUGCUCUGCUGGAUCAGUGGCGAACGGGUGAGUAACACGUGAGCAAUCUGCCCCUGACUCUGGGAUAAGCGCUGGAAACGGCGUCUAAUACUGGAUACGAGCUGCGAAGGCAUCUUCAGCAGCUGGAAAGAAUUUCGGUCAGGGAUGAGCUCGCGGCCUAUCAGCUUGUUGGUGAGGUAAUGGCUCACCAAGGCGUCGAAGGGUAGCCGGCCUGAGAGGGUGACCGGCCAAACUGGGACUGAGACACGGCCCAGACUCCUACGGGAGGCAGCAGUGGGGAAUAUUGCACAAUGGGCGAAAGCCUGAUGCAGCAACGCCGCGUGAGGGACGACGGCCUUCGGGUUGUAAACCUCUUUUAGCAGGGAAGAAGCGAAAGUGACGGUACCUGCAGAAAAAGCGCCGGCUAACUACGUG